UAGAAUACUUAUCUACUAAGGACAAAUGGUAUAUCGUUGAGAAAGAUAAACUCAAAAUGAUAAGUAAUUAUGCUAAAUACUGAUAAUAUUUAG
rfam:Clostridium sp. CAG:524 genomic scaffold, scf5